CCUCUAUAGCAGCAGCCGCGGUAAUACGUUCCCGGGCCUUGUACUUACAGCCCGUCACAUCACGAAAGUCGGUUGCACUAGAAGUCGGUGGGCCAACCCGCAAGGGAGGCAGCCCCCUAAAGUGUGAUCGGUAAUUGGGGUGAAGUCGUAACAAGGUAGCUGUAGGAGAACCUGCGGCUGGAUCACCUCCUUUCUAAGGAGCAUUCUCCGCCUCGGAUCCAAACGAGGUCGUGAAGGCGACACCGUCUAGGUGUCGACCGAGUUUGCCCUAGGUCGACAGGAAUCGCCGUACGUUGACCUGCUUGUAUUUCCUGUUCAGUUUUCAGAGAGCCGCCCCUCCGCGCUCUAUGACAAUCGAACGCUGCGGAAAUGAAGGUGGCUGGCGAAUCGGCUAUCGAUCGACGCGCUGCUCCAGGGUAAGCGGGCCUAUAGCUCAGUUGGUUAGAGCGCACGCCUGAUAAGCGUGAGGUCGGUAGUUCAAAUCUACCUAGGCCCACCAUUCCGGCUGACUCCGGAAUUGAAAAUUGCGCAUCUGAAAAUUGAAAAUCCGCCGGAGCGCAUUUUCAAUUUUCAAUUCUCAAUUUUCGAUCCGGACCGGGGCUGUAGCUCAGCUGGGAGAGCACCUGCUUUGCAAGCAGGGGGUCGUCGGUUCGAUCCCGAUCAGCUCCACCAAUUUCCCUUCCGUUCGCGAGCAUCUGCGGUGAG
rnacentral:misc_RNA from 1 species